rnacentral:rRNA from 1 species
AGAGUUUGAUCCUGGCUCAGGAUGAACGCUAGCGGCAGGCCUAACACAUGCAAGUCGAGGGGUAACAUAAGUGCUUGCACUUGAUGACGACCGGCGGACGGGUGCGUAACGCGUAUACAAUCUACCUAUUACUAAGAGAUAGCCCAGAGAAAUUUGGAUUAAUAUUUUAUGGUAUUACGAUUUGGCAUCAAGUUGUAAUUAAAGGUAACGGUAAUAGAUGAGUAUGCGUCCUAUUAGCUAGAUGGUAAGGUAACGGCUUACCAUGGCAACGAUAGGUAGGGGUCCUGAGAGGGAGAUCCCCCACACUGGUACUGAGACACGGACCAGACUCCUACGGGAGGCAGCAGUGAGGAAUAUUGGACAAUGGGAGCAAUCCUGAUCCAGCCAUGCCGCGUGCAGGAAGACUGCCCUAUGGGUUGUAAACUGCUUUUAUACAGGAAGAAAAAGGUGUACGUGUACACUGUUGACGGUACUGUAAGAAUAAGGAUCGGCUAACUCCGUGCCAGCAGCCGCGGUAAUACGGAGGAUCCAAGCGUUAUCCGGAAUCAUUGGGUUUAAAGGGUCCGUAGGCGGGAUGAUAAGUCAGUGGUGAAAGUCUGCAGCUCAACUGUAGAAUUGCCAUUGAUACUGUUGUUCUUGAGUUAUUGUGAAGUGGUUAGAAUGAGUAGUGUAGCGGUGAAAUGCAUAGAUAUUACUCAGAAUACCGAUUGCGAAGGCAGAUCACUAACAAUGAACUGACGCUGAUGGACGAAAGCG